ACGGAAGGCAGCAGUGAGGAAUAUUGGUCAAUGGGCGGAAGCCUGAACCAGCCAAGUCGCGUGAAGGAUGAAGGUAUUAUGUAUUGUAAACUUCUUUAGCAGUGGAGUAAUAAGGGGAUCGCGAUCCCUGAUGCAAGUACACUGAGAAUAAGGAUCGGCUAACUCCGUGCCAGCAGCCGCGGUAAUACGGAGGAUCCGAGCGUUAUCCGGAUUUAUUGGGUUUAAAGGGUGCGCAGGCGGCUUUUUAAGUCAGUGGUUAAAUCGUGACGCUCAACGUCAUCACGCCAUUGAUACUGGAGAGCUUGAUUGCGGUCGAGGUUUGCGGAAUUCGUUGUGUAGCGGUGAAAUGCAUAGAUAUGACGAAGAACACCGAUUGCGUAGGCAGCAGACCAGGACGUAAAUGACGCUCAUGCACGAAAGUGCGGGGAUCGAACAGGAUUAGAUACCCUGGUA
rnacentral:rRNA from 1 species